CUGUUCCCUUUUGAUAUUUUAUUCGGGGGAAUAAAGCCAUGCCUGUGUGAUUCUCCUACUGCUUCACACGUCAUGGACAUGGUAUGGGCCUCACUCAACUCUCAGCAAAUUCUACAUCACUAGAUUGUCAAACUUUUCUUAGACUUUACUCCACGCUGAUGUUCGAUCACGGGUUGUUCGAGCAGAUGAAACAUUCCCUUUUUAAAUGCUUUUAUAUGCACAGGCUGCAACUGUGGAGGGGGGCAAGAAGUUAAAACGGGAAUUCCAACCCUAAUUUUGCUAGAUUAGCACAGCAGUUUUUUACACAAUAUAAUAGCAGUUCAUAUAGUUCCAUUGCUAGUUCUUUCUUGGUGAUUAAUAUCACUGUUAAGCAAAGACAUGGUUUGAGACUUUUGAAAUCUUGGGGCCUUUCAACUUGUCAGUGGCAGUGCUCUCCAUAUUUCAACUUGACAAGAUCAUUUCAAUGAAGAGGGUGGUGGGCACAGUGAAAAGUGAGGUGCUUUUUAAUCAAGUAGGGAAGAUGAAAAUUCACAGGUCGCGUAUGUGCUAGCUGUCCAAAAACAUGUAAUGGGGUCAUCUCCCUAUCUUCAUAGGACCAGCAAAGGCAAACCCACCAUGGCUCCACCAAUCUAUAAUGUCUCUGCACAAGCAACCACCACUGAACCAUGAAUUUAUCUUAUCUCAUGCUUUUCCAGUCUUAUCCUGAAGUACCCAAAUAAGAACAGGAGCUUCAAGUGCAAUCAAGUAAUUCGGCAAUGUGAAACAAACUGCUGAGCAAUGAUCUUUCCCAAGAAGAGAACAAAAAGUCAUCUGAAGUUUCAGGUUUCCUUUCUGGGGGGGGAGAGAGAGAGAGAGAAAGAGAGUUUUAACCAACAAGCUAGCUGGCAGUAUAGCUAGCAAAAGUCAAUCAAGAAGCACUCAUUUUAGUGAAAGCUAGUUGAUUUCUAGACUCUAGGCAGAAGAUUAAAGGUAUCAUAAUAAAAGAAAAAUAAAUGAAUGAACAAACAGAAAGCAAAGUUAACAUUAAAUUGAAUGAAAUUUCAAUUUAAUGAGGGUCGACGCACGAAUAUUGAUUACUGAGUUCUAGUUCACUUGUCCCACUAAUUCUUCGGGCUGCUCUCCUUUCUCUUCCUGCCUUGUAUCCUGCCUGAUUCUUUUCUCUCCUAGUCCUACGUCAGCAUACCUGUAACUUUGGCAAGUACUGAGGAUCUAUUGUCUUUGCAUGAAUCUGGUUUGCAAACUGUUUACCCCGA